CAUUUCUCAAUAUAUAAAACAAGGUUUUCUACGUAAUGUGUUUCAAUUAUUGUCGCGGUUUUAUUGAAAUAACCACCAGUGAUGUUCAUAGUUGUCCUCAUCUCGGCCCUGUUAGCUGGGUUAGCCUCGUCUACACCAUGUACGUCAUCAACUGAGUGUCCUACUGGGUCAAGUUGUCGAGAUGAGAAUGGAGAAAUAUUUUAUAUACCAGAAAACCAGUUCGGACCUAUAUAUGAGGUACCAGAAGGAGUUAAUGGUACUUGUGGUGAAGGAGCUGGAGCCGGUGAAAUCUGUAUGAACACCUCAGAAUGUCCUACAGGUUAUGAAUGUUAUCGGGAAAUGUCGGGUGCAUGCUGUCCACCAAGUUAUUGUAUAACAAUCGAGGAGGCUCAGGAGAAAAAAGAUAAAUGGAGUAAUUGUUUCCCACCUACCUGUUAUCCCCCGCCAUAAUAAAAGAUAAAAAUAAAUUAUAUAUUCAGUUA